UGGGGAAUAUUGCACAAUGGGCGCAAGCCUGGUGCAGCCAUGCCGCGUGUGUGAAGAAGGCCUUCGGGUUGUAAAGCACUUUCAGCGGGGAGGAAGGCGGUGAGGUUAAUAACCUCAUCGAUUGACGUUACCCGCAGAAGAAGCACCGGCUAACUCCGUGCCAGCAGCCGCGGUAAUACGGAGGGUGCAAGCGUUAAUCGGAAUUACUGGGCGUAAAGCGCACGCAGGCGGUUGAUUGAGUCAGAUGUGAAAUCCCCGGGCUUAACCCGGGAAUUGCAUCUGAUACUGGUCAGCUAGAGUCUUGUAGAGGGGGGUAGAAUUCCAUGUGUAGCGGUGAAAUGCGUAGAGAUGUGGAGGAAUACCGGUGGCGAAGGCGGCCCCCUGGACAAAGACUGACGCUCAGGUGCGAAAGCGUGGGGAGCAAACAGG
rnacentral:rRNA from 1 species